AUCGGAGUCCGUUCCGCGGACGUCGGAGUGUGUCGAAAGAGGGAACCCGGUGUGAGUCCGGGACUGCCCCGCAGCGGUGAGUGGGAACGAAAGUCGUCAAAGGCACUGGUGCUUCGACCCGACGGGUCGAACCCGGGAAGCGACGGCCGGUAGGCGGAUCGACGUCUCGUCGAAGGUGCCCACGAGUCCGAAGACCUGCCUCCGCCCGGUGACGCGUC
rnacentral:ncRNA from 21 species